rnacentral:rRNA from 1 species
GCGAUCAUACCAGCACUAAUGCACCGGAUCCCAUCAGAACUCCGAAGUUAAGCGUGCUUGGGCGAGAGCAGUACUAGGAUGGGUGACCCCCUGGGAAGUCCUCAUGUAAAAGAA